UAUGUGGACAUAAGGCUUACCCAUCUUUACCAGCAAAAUGGGGAGGUCUAUGUGCACUCGUG
ensembl:miRNA